UUCCUUUCAAAGUGUACACGUGUGACAGUUGCUUUGUAGACCUUUGGUGCAUCUUGAUUCCUUCUUUUCAUGCUUUGUCAAACAUAGGAUUGGCCGCAAAGAAACCUGUAAGUAAUGGAAGGAAACACUCUGCUGGUAAAGAAUGUUAUGCUCCUGAACCUCUACCACCUGGUGUGUCUGGUUUCCGGCCGUGGCGUACUGCAGAACGUGCAAAAAGGAACAGGGGCUUUCCAUUCAUCAAAGCUCGUGAUGUAUGUAGUCAGUUGCAGAUACACCAUAGCAGAACCCUGAGGGAAUGGAUGGUGAAUGGUAAGGCCUGAAUUUACACUUCUUUUAUUCUUUAUACCCUGAACCCGUCUCUCAACAACUGUUUACGGUUGAUGUUUAUUUUUUUGGAAAUUAGACAUAGCUCACUCCAUUCAUUCCUUCAACAGAUUCCUCAGCAGAAGGGAGGCUUCUAAGGAUGUAGGGUGUAUUAGUGGGGCUGCAGGUUAUUACAGGGAAUCCAAGCAAGGCCUCAUAAUGGAGACGGUGAUAUUUGAGAAAAGACCUAAAAAAGUGAGUGGAUGAGUACUGUAGAUAGUAAAGAGAACAGCAAUUCAGGUAAAGGGAAGAGGAAGUGAAAAUGUCUGCCUGCUAUACUUGUUUAACAUCAAGGACUAAAGAGUAUAAGGUGUUUGGAAAAGACUGAGCAAGGAGUAGAGGUGGAGGAGAUGAUAUCAAAUAUAUAAUGUGGAGGGUAAUCAUGUCGCAACUUUGCAGCAUUUUAAGAACUUCAGCUUCAACUAUGAUGAAGGGGAAGACACUGAAGUCACAUAAUUCUUCUGACUUAGAUUCUCAAAGGUUUCUCCAGCCACUGUGUUAAGGACACAUUUCAGAGGGGAUAAUAAUUAAGAUGACAGACAACAAAAUUUUAAUGCUGGGUGGUAACAGUGGAAAAAUCGAGAAACUGUCAAAUUCUGGUUCUAUCUCAAAGAUAGGGCUGACACAUUUUCCUUCUGUAUUGGAUGUGAAAGGAGAGGGAAAGAAAAACGUCAAAGAUGAAUCACAUUUUGUAACUGAGCACCAGGAAGAAUGGAGCUGCCCUUUUCUCUUUUGGAAAGUCUACAGGAAAAGCAUGAGUGACUAUGUGUGUAUUCGAUUGCAAGGUAUAUUAAGUUUCGGAUGUCUAUUAAAUGACAAAACAGAGAUAUUCUGUUAGUAACCAGUCUUGUUAGGUGGACCCACUCCGUAAAGGACAACCACCAACCUACCUAAUCUGCUCAAUGUGAAGACCCAUAAAGGACUUUGGGGCAUUAGUGUGAAGAGGGCUUCCUUCUGCGUUUGUGUGUAUGUGUGUUAUUUGCUUUGACACUGUGGUUAGGCUAAAGUAGCAGUAUUCUGCGCUUUCAUCUUUGGCAACUUUUUUCUCACCAAGAAGCUUUUUUAUUGGGUUGACGCCAAAUGAGUAUUUGCCUGAUACUUCAUGUCCUGAUCCUUUAACUAUUUUCCUAGUUUGGACAGCCACAAAUUUGGUUACCAUUUGUUAAUUUCACCCUUGAACCUGGACACACCUGAAGCGAAGUGAACUCCCACCACACUGAUGGUAGACUCCAUCUGAGCAUGCUCAAAAGAGCGCAGAAGGUUGUCCACGGGGAGGGUACUAUCAGAGGCUGAUUGACAGUAUCUGUGUUGUAGACCAGCUUAAGGGCAAACACAUAA